CGGGAAGCAGGUGCCCCUACCCUGGCCGUGCCCGGGACACCUGCUGUAGCCACGGGGAGAAGAGCGACAUGCUGCCCUGUGUCUUCUCUACUGGCUUCUCCCAUCUCCAGCCCUCCUUGCUCUAUGUGAUACCAGGCUCACCACUGUCCCAGUCUCUAUCAGCUUCAUCUGGGAUCCAUGACUUUGUGAGAGGUACGUGUUCUGGCUCCUCUGAGCCAGCCUUAGCUGGGCACCCCAACUCUUGACGUUGUUACCACUCUCCCCUGUCAGGGUAUUCAUUCACUUCCUGCUGCUCUGGGCUCUCAGGAGGCCUCACUUCUGGUCCUUCUUGGACAUUGUCUGGUGGGGAUUUUAUCCCUCUUUCUGAGGGACACCCAGCAAAUCGACAUCGGGACACAUCCACAAAGCGUGCCCAUGCUGGCAUGGAGGAGCACGUUUGGGCUUCAACAUUUUGUGCCCCUUUCCCCCGCCACUCCUACACUGGCACCGCUUGUCUUCUGAUGGCGGCAUCUCUACCAUUAUGCCUUUGAUCUUCAGCAGCGUUCUGCGGCCACCACUUUUCCCUCUGCUCCAGCACCAGAGAUGCAGCCAGCAACAUCUCAGCUUGCAGUGAAAAUGGAACCUCAUUUACCUCACUCAUGUCAUACAUACAAAGAUACAAACAUACACUUUUUGCACCAGAGAUGAAGUCACAAUUAGCCCAAACAAUUAGCCCUGAAGUUUUGUUUUCUUGUUUUUUAAAAACCCAGCAUUUACCAGCAGAUUAAGGUUUUACAACUGUCAUUUGAUUCCAGUCACCUAGAUAUUCAAAGUGCAAGUUACAAUGUAAUUUGAUAAGCUGUAGAAGCAAUCUAUUAUCUUCCCUAUCUUACUCCUCUCUUCCUGGUGUGAGCUAUAUGGCAACCCAACUGCUGCCAUUGAUUUAAAUGUAAUUGUGGAUAUUCAGGACCUG